GAAUUCUGUUUCACUUACUGAUAAUUGGUCAUAUUCAUUUAUUAUUUUAAUAAUUGUGAAUAAGCCACAAACUACAAACUUCCCUUAUUCCUAACUAAAAUAGUAAAUAGAGUUAAUAACAAAAGAAUUAUUUGUAAAAUUAAAAUAAUUCUUCUUUUUGCUUUUUUGCUAAUGUAUGCAUUUAUAAAUAGGAUGGUAGACCACACACUAUAUGUAGUACCAACUAAUGAAUGCACGGAAUAUUAUAGUCGGUUCGCUAAACUCAGUCUCAGUACUACUGAGUCUCGGACACAACUGGCUAGUGAUUUUAGUAAAUUUGGUAAAUUUCGUAAAAUUGGCAAAAAAAAUAAUAACUAAAUAGUUAAUAAUUACUAAAUAGUUAGUAAUUUUGGCAAAAUUGGCCAAAAACAAAAAAAUUACCUACUAAAAUCACUAGCCAGUUGUGUCUGAGUUUGGGGAACGACUAUACUAAUAAACAAUUUCUAAGCUGUUUUAUAAUAUUUUGUGAGUUCGUUAAUCAUAUUUUUUAUUUAAAACUAAAAUUUGUUAAUAAUGCUUAGUAAUGCAUAUAUUUUGUAUUUUUAGCUUUCCAGAAGAUCCUGCGAAGAAGGCAUGAAGUAUAGAUCUGAUUUGUUAAUAGAGGAGUAUGUUCAAAACAUUUUUUAGAAAAAGAUAUUGACAGAACUUCACUUUCAUCUGUUCGUUUGAGAGACUGUGCUGUUCCAAUAGCUUAUGUCACACAGAAUCAGCCGAGAGAAGUGGUCUACAAAAAACCAGGAAGGAAAUGGAAUAUGUGGCUACAAAAAGCAAAAGAAAGGUUUACAAAGCAAAUGUGACACAUUUUUUUAUAAUAUUUAGAAAUGUCAGUAAAUUACAUUAAAAAAAUGUAUGAAAAGAUUUUUUGCAAUAAAAAUGUUUAUAUUUA